rnacentral:rRNA from 1 species
GACGAACGCUGGCGGCGUGCCUAAUACAUGCAAGUCGAGCGAGCGGAACUAACAGAUUUACUUCGGUAAUGACGUUAGGAAAGCGAGCGGCGGAUGGGUGAGUAACACGUGGGGAACCUGCCCCAUAGUCUGGGAUACCACUUGGAAACAGGUGCUAAUACCGGAUAAGAAAGCAGAUCGCAUGAUCAGCUUUUAAAAGGCGGCGUAAGCUGUCGCUAUGGGAUGGCCCCGCGGUGCAUUAGCUAGUUGGUAAGGUAAAGGCUUACCAAGGCGAUGAUGCAUAGCCGAGUUGAGAGACUGAUCGGCCACAUUGGGACUGAGACACGGCCCAAACUCCUACGGGAGGCAGCAGUAGGGAAUCCUCCACAAUGGCGCAAGCCUGAUGGAGCAACGCCGCGUGAGUGAAGAAGGUUUUCGGAUCGUAAAGCUCUGUUGUUGGUGAAGAAGGAUAGAGGUAGUAACUGGCCUUUAUUUGACGGUAAUCAACCAGAAAGUCACGGCUAACUACGUG